CCGCUUCAAAGUCGCGGCCCCACUGGCUUGGUUUACACCUGAGCCAAUUAGCCCUGGAGAUCAGAAGAGGUCUGGAAACCGAGCAGAGCCCUGAGUCCUGGGCUGGGGAAAAGUCACUUGAUCCCAGGUGACUCCAUCUCAGGAAUGUAUCCAUGACUCUUCCUCUCCUGGAAUCAGAGCUUGUGCUCUAAUUAAAGAGCUGUCUCUGGGCAGCUCGCCGGGAUUUUAGCCAAGAUGUGCGUAAUUAUUUUUCCAAUGAAGGGAGAGUGACGUCCCUGGCUUUCAGCGUGUGGUGGCAACCACAGCCACUGGAGACAGGAUGGGGAGAUGCUGUGCAUGAGGACCCGGACCCCACUUCCCAGAAAGGCUACAUUGAAGCAAAUAUAAAGAAACUUUCUGACGGAAUGCGGAGCAGUGGAGAAUGAGCUGGGCCCCGGGGAGUGGACACAAGGGUGUCCAGAGACAGGACACUCAGGAGCGCGGCCGGCCCCAUCCUCGAGCCCCGUCCCACACAGCGACCCACGUGCCGGGACCCAGAGCACGUUCCAGCCUACAGCAGGGGCUUGGACAGGAAUGCGCUGAAGUUUUUCUUUGUAUCGUCCGUGCCUAAGGAGGAAUUCGAACACGGCAUGUCAGGGGAAGUUAUAGGAAGAUCAUCUGGAUGACCAAUAAAGAGCCGGCGAGAGGGAACAGUAUGAAUCUGCAUCUAAACUGCCCCUCUCCCUUUGUGGAGAUUUCUGAUGGCGUCUGGCUCGGAACCUAAGUCACCAAUAUACAAACAUUGGCGCAGGCAGCGUUUGGCACAGUUUACAAUGGUCUUGAUUUUUCAGAUGAGGCAAUUAGCCCCCAUUUUCUCUUUUCCCUGAUGCUCAGCUACUGCUAGUGAACAUUUGGGCUGCCCUUACCACAGAAAACCCUAUUGCAGCAGCUCUGCGUGACUGCAGGAAAGCAUGACCCCCAUUGCUAAGCCACCUCCCUCCUGCCUCUGAGCUUCUUGGACAAGUCCCCUUCUGCACCUACACUGCACCCUCAUCACCUACACUGUGCAAGUCCUGUGUCACAACCCUGGACAGCCCUGGCCCUUCCAGGAGAGGUCUCGCCAUGGUUAAAGCCAGCUGUGGGCACACACAGUAGUCCAUAGUGCUGACCUCUUUCAACCCAUCCUGGGUGUCAUUUCCAACCAGGGCCCAUGGAUCCAGCACAGGAUGGGCAAUGCCAGGGCUGGUGUCUUCUCUGUCUUACCUGGUGCCCUGGGUUCUGCACCCUUUUGGUCUCUGGGUCUCUUUAGAGAGUGAAACAAGGCUAACAUAGCAACUGAUGCACUUGACUUUUUAAUUCCCCUCUAGAGCAUCUUUUUCUUCAACAGAUGUUUUCAAAAUAAUUAAGUGAUGGAGAGCAUGCAUUAUUGAAAAUGCUGGAUGCCUCCCUAAUGCUCUCCACAUUUGUAUAUCUGUCAGCGCAGAAUGAAGUACUCAGAAAUGUUGUGCUAUUUAUUUUGCAAAUUACCAAACAUUCACUCUAGCCAAGGAGGAGAGGAAUGGAAAAGUCAGCCCAAUAACCUCUCUGAUUCCUGCAAAUGCUCCACCCUCUGUGUCUGCAGGAAUCAUGGAGUCUCAUAUGGCUUGUGAGCAGAGAACCUUUUUAAAAAGUAUCCAGCUGAUCACCCAUCCAUAAUACAAUUCCUGGAAUUGGGGCCAUUUCUUUACUUAAUUUUAAAAUUUCAGAAAUUUCACAUUUUAUAUUAAUAACCUUCAUCCAAAAUUAAAUAAUUAUUGGAAUGGGAAAUUGCCUUCUAUAUUUAGUUCUUUUUUUUAAAUAUCUGGAUCUACUCUGUCCCUAGCAUGCUCCAGUCUGGUUGACCUACACACUUACUCCAGCUUUCAAGUUGCUUGGGAGCAAAUGCUGCAUUCCUGAGCUGCGUGGUCUUGCUUCUGACCAAUAUCUAAGUGUUGUGCAGGAAGGAGUCUCAGUAUAUGCCCACAUCUUCAAAAUGACAGGCCUGGAAACAAUUCUAAGAAAUGUAUGGGUCUCAGCUGUGGAAAUAAAUUUGUAAUUUUCAUAGGACUAUAGAUCAUUAUCUCCCUUUAAGAGUACGUUUUGGGGUGUAAUUGGAAUUCAUUCUUGGAAAACUUUUGAAUUUGGUGGUUCCACUUUGGGCUGAUGGCCUGGACUCUUCCCUUGAUAUCUCAGACCUGUUUGUGAAAGCUUGUUGGGUCCCGCUGUGAGACCACAAGUGACUAGAAGUGUCACUGAGGAAAAGUUGUUUGCAUCAAGGUAAGCAGAGUCUCAGGUCCAUAAGUGCUAUUCAUU